UUAACUAUUUUAUAGUACUCAGACAUCACUAGACAGACGAGUUUAGAUCCUCUGGCGGGCGCUGCCAGCCGGAGCCGACGCCCGAAGGCGGCCCGCCAAAGCAACAAAGGUAAGGUAGACACGGUUUGGGAAUAGAACCCAUUCUCUCUUUCAAAAAAACGGGGCGAUUCUUUAAUGAUCCUUCCGCAGGUUCACCUACGGAAA
rnacentral:misc_RNA from 1 species